rnacentral:rRNA from 1 species
GAUCGUUUACCGUGAAAAAAUUAGAGUGUUCAAAGCAGGCAGAUCCAAUUUUCUGCCACCGAAUACAUUAGCAUGGGAUAAUGGAAUAGGACCCUGUCCUCCUAUUUUCAGUUGGUUUUGGCAGCGCGAGGACUAGGGUAAUGAUUAAUAGGGAUAGUUGGGGGCAUUAAUAUUUAAUUGUCAGAGGUGAAAUUCUUGGAUUUAUGAAAGAUUAACUUCUGCGAAAGCAUCUGCCAAGGAUGUUUUCAUUAAUCAAGAACGAAAGUUAGGGGAUCGAAGACGAUCAGAUACCGUCGUAGUCUUAACCAUAAACGAUGCCGACCAGCGAUUAGGAGACGUUGAAUACAAAACACCACCAUCGGUUGCGGUCGUCCUUGGCGUCUCGGUUCGGCCGGGGCGCGGGGACGGU